AAACUUUUAACAAUGGAUCUCUUGGGUUCUCGUAUCGAUGAAGAACGCAGCGAAAACGCGGAUAUUUCUUGGUGGAAUUGCAGAAAGUGAAUCAUCAUUUUUUGAACGCACAUUGCACUUUGGGGGGUAUCCCCAAAGAUAUACUUGUUUUGAGCCUUGGUUU
rnacentral:rRNA from 1 species